UACGUAGGCAGCAAGCGUUGUUCGGAGUUACUGGGCGUAAAGGGUGUGUAGGCGGUUGCUUAAGUUUGGGGUGAAAUCUCCCGGCUCAACUGGGAGGGUGCGCCGAAUACUGAGGGACUCGAGUGCGGGAGAGGAAAGUGGAAUUCCUGGUGUAGCGGUGAAAUGCGUAGAUAUCAGGAGGAACACCAGCGGCGAAGGCGGCAUCCUGGACUGGUCCUGACACUCAGGAGCGAAAGCGUGGGGAGCGAGCCGG
rnacentral:rRNA from 1 species